rnacentral:rRNA from 1 species
AUUGAACGCUGGCGGCAUGCCUUACACAUGCAAGUCGAACGGCAGCAUGAUCUAGCUUGCUAGAUUGAUGGCGAGUGGCGAACGGGUGAGUAAUACAUCUGAACGUGCUCUGUAGCGGGGGAUAACUAGUCGAAAGAUUAGCUAAUACCGCAUAUGACUUGAGGGUGAAAGUGGGGGACCGCAAGGCGUCAUGCCAUACGAGCGUCCGAUGUCUGAUUAGCUAGUUGGUGAGGUAAAGGCUCACCAAGGCGACGAUCAGUAGCUGGUCUGAGAGGACGAUCGGCCACACUGGGACUGAGACACGGCCCAGACUCCUACGGGAGGCAGCAGUGGGGAAUUUUGGACAAUGGGCGAAAGCCUGACGCAGCAAUGCCGCGUGUGUGAUGAAGGCCUUCGGGUUGUAAAGCACUUUUGUCCGGAAAGAAAUGGCGCUGGUUAAUACCUGGGGUCGAUGACGGUACCGGAAGAAUAAGGACCGGCUAACUACGUG